UUGCUUUAGAAGUGCAUAUACAAAAAUUAGAAUACUACAUAGAAGAUAAACAUGGCUCCUGUCAGGGAUGACAUACGAAGUCUAGAAGCAUUCCAUAUUUUU
ensembl:snRNA U6 U6 spliceosomal RNA